rnacentral:rRNA from 1 species
CAAAGAUUAAGCCAUGCAUGUGUAAGUAUAAGCUGUAUGUACUGUGAAACUGCGAAUGGCUCAUUAAAUCAGUUAUCGUUUAUUUGAUUGUACUUACCAUUAGAUGGAUAUCUGUGGUAAUUCUAGAGCUAAUACAUGCGAAAAGUCCUGACUCUUCGGGGAAGGGAUGUAUUUAUUAGAUUAAAAACCAAUGCUCAUCUCGGUGAGCUCCAGUGGUGAUUCAUGAUAACUUUUCGAAUCGUAUGGGUUUCAGUCCCGACGAUGUUUCAUUCAAAUUUCUGCCCUAUCAACUGUCGAUGGUAAGGUAGUGGCUUACCAUGGUUGUAACGGGUGACGGAGAAUUAGGGUUCGAUUCCGGAGAGGGAGCCUGAGAAACGGCUACCACAUCU